AACGAACGCUGGCGGCGUGGAUAAGACAUGCAAGUCGAACGGGACUUUGCUUGUAGCAAUACGAGUGAAGUUCAGUGGCAUACGGGUGCGUAACACGUGAGCAACCUGCCUUGAAGUGGGGGAUAGCUCGUCGAAAGGCGAAUUAAUACCGCAUGUGGUAGCAAUACUAAAGCCGGGGCAACCUGGCGCUUCUUGAUGGGCUCGCGGCCUAUCAGCUAGUUGGUAAGGUAACGGCUUACCAAGGCUAUGACGGGUAGCUGGUCUGAGAGGACGACCAGCCACACUGGAACUGAGACACGGUCCAGACACCUACGGGUGGCAGCAGUCGAGAAUUUUUCUCAAUGGGGGAAACCCUGAAGGAGCGACACCGCGUGGAGGAUGAAGGUCUUCGGAUUGUAAACUCCUGUCAUUGGUGAACAAAGCCACGGGUUAACUGCCAAGUGGUUUGCUAGUAGCCGAAGAGGAAGGGACGGCUAACUCUGUGCCAGCAGCCGCCGUAAAAC
rnacentral:rRNA from 1 species